GACACUUCAACAACAACAGCGAGUCAGUCACUUCAGUAGCUUGCUAGGCGACAUGGCCUAAACAUUCAAGCUUUUUAGACUGUUUCAGUGCACAUUUGCCUAUGUGUUUUAAACAUGCUAAUGUUUCAUAGCUAGUUGCCCCAUUUAUUUUCAUAUUUACGCUGUUAGUCAGGCAGAUGUCUUAAAUUUACCUAGCGGUCGGCUAGUCGCUAAUGCUAACUAGCUAGUUAACAUCCCCGACCAUGAGCUCCCUAAAUUUCUCCCCUCCUGUUAAAGAAGAGGGGGUCUGCUGGUCGGAGAAAGAAACUCUAUGACUGAACAUUGUCGUGAAAGAGGAGAAGGAUGUCACAGUAAAAAAAACAAGUAGAGGGUGAGGCUGUUUCAGACAAAGAAGAAAAGAAAGACGUUUCAGUGAAAGAAGAGGAGGAUGUUACUGUAAAAGAAGAGGAAAAGAAAGAGGAGGAUGUAGUUUUUGGAGUGAAGGAGGGAGAGAACUGUCACAUUGAAGGAAGAACAGGAGUAGGAGACAGGCGAUCUGAUUAAAACCAACAUGUUUUGAUGUGAGAGGAUGCCAACCCCCAGUCCCAUCAUCGCCACCUCACCUGCUUUUAAGAUGACCUUUGGGCCGACUGGAGACACUAUUAUUACCUGAGCCCUAGGACCAUGCCCCAGGACUACCUGACAUGAUGACUCCUUGCUGUCCCCAGUCCACCUGGCCAUGCUGCUGUUCCAGUUUCAACUGACCUGAGCCCUAGGACCAUGCCCCAGGACUACCUGACAUGAUGACUCCUUGCUGUCCCCAGUCCACCUGGCCAUGCUGCUGCUCCAGUUUCAACUUCCACCUGACUGUGCUGCUG
ensembl:lncRNA